rnacentral:rRNA from 1 species
GAUUAACGCUGGCGGCAUGCCUAAUACAUGCAAGUCGAUCGGAUGUAGCAAUACAUUAGAGGCGAACGGGUGAGUAACACGUAUCCAAUCUGCCCCAAUGAGGGGGAUAACUAGUCGAAAGAUUAGCUAAUACCCCAUAGGAAAUAGUUUCGCAUGAUUUUAUUUUUAAAGGUGGGUUAAACCAUCGCUUUGGGAUGAGGGUGCGCCAUAUGCAGGUAGUAGGUAGUGUAAUGGACUACCUAGCCAAUGACGUGUAGCUGUACUGAGAGGUAGAACAGCCGAAAUGGGACUGAGACACGGCCCAUACUCCUACGGGAGGCAGCAGUAGGGAAUUUUUCACAAUGGGGGAAACCCUGAUGGAGCAAUGCCGCGUGAAUGAUGAAGGCCUUCGGGUUGUAAAGUUCUUUUAUUAAAGACGAACCGACUAUAGAGGAAAUGCUAUAGUUUUGACUGUAUUUAAUGAAUAAGCAACGGCUAACUAUGUGCCAGCAGCCGCGGUAA